AUUUUUCUAGUACAAUUUCAGUAUUAGUGACUUCCAAUCACCAGGUCUUGGUUAAACCCCAGGGAAAAAUA
rnacentral:tRNA from 1 species